rnacentral:rRNA from 1 species
GUAAUCACUUGUUCUUUAAUUGAGGACUAGUAUGAAUGGCCCCACGAGGACUACACUGUCUCCUUUCUCUAAUCAAUGAAACUGAUCUCCCCGUGAAGAAGCGGGGAUAAACCUAUAAGACGAGAAGACCCUAUGGAGCUUUAAACAACAGAAAUAUUUGCUUCUUUCCUACCAUUUUCUGAAAACUAAAUUAAUUCAAGCAUUUUAUCUCCCAGUUUUAGGUUGGGGUGACCACGGAGAAAAAAUAAACCUCCAUGUUGAAAGAAGCCUUCCGCCUUCUAAGCAAAAAGACACAACUUUAUGCAUCAACACAUUGACUCCCAUUGACCCAAUAAUUUGAUCAACGAACCAAGUUACCCUAGGGAUAACAGCGCAAUCUACUUUGAGAGCUCAUAUCGACAAGUAGGUUUACGACCUCGAUGUUG